UUGAACGCUAGCGGGAUGCUUUACCCAUGCAAGUCGAACGGCAGCGCGGACUUCGGUCUGGCGGCGAGUGGCGAACGGGUGAGUAAUGUAUCGGAACGUGCCCAGUAGCGGGGGAUAACUACGCGAAAGCGUAGCUAAUACCGCAUACGCCCUACGGGGGAAAGCAGGGGAUCGUAAGACCUUGCACUAUUGGAGCGGCCGAUAUCGGAUUAGCUAGUUGGUGAGGUAACGGCUCACCAAGGCGACGAUCCGUAGCUGGUUUGAGAGGACGACCAGCCACACUGGGACUGAGACACGGCCCAGACUCCUACGGGAGGCAGCAGUGGGGAAUUUUGGACAAUGGGGGCAACCCUGAUCCAGCCAUCCCGCGUGUGCGAUGAAGGCCUUCGGGUUGUAAAGCACUUUUGGCAGGAAAGAAACGUCGCGGGCUAAUACCCCGUGGAACUGACGGUACCUGCAGAAUAAGCACCGGCUAACUACGUG
rnacentral:rRNA from 1 species